rnacentral:rRNA from 1 species
GAUGAACGCUGGCGGCGUGCCUAAUACAUGCCAGUCGAGCGAACAGACGAGGAGCUUGCUCCCCUGACGUUAGCGGCGGACGGGUGAGUAACACGUGGAUAACCUACCUAUAAGGCUGGGAUAACUUCGGGAAACCGGAGCUAAUACCGGAUAAUAUAUUGAACCGCAUGGUUCAAUAGUGAAAGACGGUUUUGCUGUCACUUAUAGAUGGAUCCGCGCCGCAUUAGCUAGUUGGUAAGGUAACGGCUUACCAAGGCAACGAUGCGUAGCCGACCUGAGAGGGUGAUCGGCCACACUGGAACUGAGACACGGUCCAGACUCCUACGGGAGGCAGCAGUAGGGAAUCUUCCGCAAUGGGCGAAAGCUUGACGGAGCAACGCCGCGUGAGUGAUGAAGGUCUUCGGAUCGUAAAACUCUGUUAUUAGGGAAGAACAAAUGUGUAAGUAACUAUGCACGUCUUGACGGUACCUAAUCAGAAAGCCACGGCUAACUACGUG